GUAGCGUAUAUUAAAGUUGUUGCAGUUAAAAAGCUCGUAGUCGAACUUCGGAUCUGGCGGGAUGGUCCGCCUUACGGUGUGUACUGUCCGGCCGGAUCUUACCUCUUGGUGAAGCCGUAUGCCCUUUACUGGGUGUGCGGUGGAACCAGGAAAUUUACUUUGAGAAAAUUAGAGUGUUCAAAGCAGGCAUACGCCCGAAUACAUUAGCAUGGAAUAAUAGAAUAGGACGUGCGGUUCUAUUUUGUUGGUUUCUAGGAUCGCCGUAAUGAUUAAUAGGGAUAGUCGGGGGCAUCCGUAUUCAAUUGUCAGAGGUGAAAUUCUUGGAUUUAUUGAAGACGAACUACUG
rnacentral:rRNA from 1 species